rnacentral:rRNA from 1 species
CCCUUAGAUGUUCUGGGCCGCACGCGUGCUACACUGAUGCAUUCAACGAGUCUAAAACCUGGUCUGAUAGGGCUGGGUAAUCUUUUGAAAGUGCAUCGUGAUUGGGAUAGAUGAUUGCAAUUUUUCAUCUUCAACGAGGAAUGCCUAGUAAACGCAAGUCAUCAGCUUGCAUUGAUUACGUCCCUGCCCUUUGUACACACCGCCCGUCGCUCCUACCGAUUGAAUGAUCCGAUGAAUACCAUGGAUUGAGAGUACGAAUAGGUUCGCUUAUUUCUGCUGCUCGAGAAGUGGAGUAAAUCUUAUCAUUUAGAGGAAGGAGAAGUCGUAACA